UUGGGCGUAGCCCUAUGGUAGGAUUGAGGACUUUGGUUCGGCCAUUCCCGGGUUCGAAUCCUGCCACCCCAGCCA
rnacentral:tRNA from 1 species